UAUUAAACUUUAAUGGGUAACUAGUAGACAGUAACACUCUGGGAGGGCUCAAACCACAUAACCAAAUGUGCCAAGAUAAUCCUGAGCUCACUAUUGUCAGUCCUGAAGAUUUUCCUCAGAUAAUCUUUCAUCUCUUUGUUCCUGAGACUAUAUAUUAGAGGAUUACAGAGUGGUGUUAUCACAGAAAAGAACAAGUGGAUUUUUAUCUGAGAUCUACAACUUAUGAAGAAUACAAAUGAUGUAUAUUCUUUUCUACUCUUCAUGUAUGGACUAGAGGGGCUUGCACAGUAGACUCAAGAGAAUUGACAUCUGGUGUUAAAAAACAAAAAAUCAUACAAAUGACUGAUAUGUAUCAUUUUCCUUAUUAAAUAUGGAAGAAAGGGGAGGAGGAUGCAGAAAUGGUUGGCUAAAAGCUCCAGAGAAAAACUUAACAGAUUUUAUGAUUUUGCGGAAGGUAAGUCCUUGACCUCUUCAUUUUCACAUUCAGCAGGCCAGGGAAAUGGAAAGCGAGAACAGAACAGUGAUAAGAGAAUUC
rnacentral:lncRNA from 1 species